GGUCUGGGCAUGGAUGUUCUUAUUUGGACACCUUGUUUGGGCUACUGGAUUUAUGUUCUUAAUUUCUUGGCGUGGGUAUUGGCAGGAAUUGAUUGAAACUUUAGCCUGGGCUCAUGAGCGAACACCUUUAGCCAAUUUGAUUCGCUGGAGAGAUAAACCAGUGGCCCUUUCCAUUGUGCAAGCAAGAUUGGUUGGAUUAGCCCACUUUUCUGUAGGUUAUAUAUUUACUUAUGCGGCUUUCUUAAUUGCCUCUACGUCGGGCAAAUUUGGUUAAUUUUUUAAUUCAUUUUUGAAUGUGGUUGUAUCCGAGAAAGAUUCAUUUCUUUGGAUGGAGAGGGGUUCGGCCUUCUUAUAUUUCUACAUCUAGGAUUCGACUUGUAUCAGGGAUACCAAGAGGAACUAAACCAUUAUGGCAAGGAAAGGUUUGAUUCAGCGGGAGAAGAAAAGGCAAAAAUUGGAACAUAAAUAUCAUUUGAUUCGUCGAUCCUCAAAAAAAGAAAUAAGCAAAGUUCAGUCGUUAAAUGACAAAUGGGAAAUUUAUAGAAAGUUACAAUCCCCACCGCGGAAUAGCGCACCUACACGUUUUCAUCGACGUUGUUUUGCGACCGGAAGACCGAGAGCUAAUUAUCGAGACUUUGGACUAUCUGGACAUAUACUUCGAGAAAUGGUUCAUGCAUGUUUGUUGCCUGGAGCAACAAGAUCCAGUUGGUAAGGAUUAACCUUUGAUUUCUAUUUGAUGGUUGGUGAUCGGGGGGCCCCUUUACCAUUCUGUAUAAAUCGGCUAUUCUAUUGUACAGAUAUGGUAGAGGGGCACAUUCAACCCUUGGUUGUCUAUUAGUUUUCGGUUCUUCUCGUUAGC
rnacentral:tRNA from 1 species